GGAGAGAUGGCUGAGUGGACUAAAGCGGCCGCCUCGAAAGCGGCUGUACCCAAAAGGUACCGCAGGUUCGAAUCCUGCUCUCUCCG
rnacentral:tRNA from 1 species